rnacentral:misc_RNA from 1 species
CCCUUGUGGAGGAGGACGCCGAAGGUGGGGCUAAUGACUGGGGUGAAGUCGUAACAAGGUAGCCGUACCGGAAGGUGCGGCUGGAUCACCUCCUAACAGGGAGACAACAAAAUGUUUAAUAUUAUUAUUUUGUCACCUUAGGUCGAUCGGUAUCUCACAUUCUUAAUUUAUUAAGGAUUUCAUUUCCUAAGUUUUUCUAGGUCACACCCAUUAUUUUUCCUGGGCCAUUAGCUCAGGUGGUUAGAGCGCACCCCUGAUAAGGGUGAGGUCCCUGGUUCAAGUCCAGGAUGGCCCAUAUCUCUAUGUUGGGGGUAUAGCUCAGUUGGUAGAGCGCCUGCUUUGCAAGCAGGAUGUCAGCGGUUCGAGUCCGCUUACCUCCACUGAUUACCACCUCUUCCAUAAUUUUAAGAAAGGAAAAGUUUUGCUUUGUGAUCAAAUCUGAACGAAUCUAGCUUCCUAAUGGAAUCAUUAAGAUGCUGGACUCAUUGAAUUAAUUUCAUUGUUUUCAGAGAACCUUGACAACUGCAUAGAUUAUUUUUAAAGACAAUAAGCAUCUUUGUGAUGCAGAUUUAUUAUUUGUGCGAAUGCAUUAAUAACAAUUCUAUUAAGCUGAUGCUUCAAUUAUUGAAGUUAUUGGUCAAGCUACAAAGGGCUCACGGAGGAUACCUAGGCACACAGAGGCGA